AGCGAACGCUGGCGGCAGGCUUAACACAUGCAAGUCGAGCGGGCGUAGCAAUACGUCAGCGGCAGACGGGAGAGUAACACGUGGGAACGCGCCCUUCGGUUCGGAAUAACUCAGGGAAACUUGAGCUAAUACCGAAUACGCCCUAACGGGGAAAGAUUUAUUGCCGAAGGAACGGCCCGCGUCUGAUUAGCUAGUUGGUGAGGUAAUGGCUCACCAAGGCGACGAUCAGUAGCUGGUCUGAGAGGAUGGCCAGCCUCACUGGGACUGAGACACUGCCCAGACUCCUACGGGGGGCUGCAGUAACGAAUCUUCCGCAAUGCACGAAAGUGUGACGGAGCGACGCCGCGUGUGGGACGAAGUCCUUCGGGAUGUAAACCACUGUCAGGGGUUAGAAAGUUCUGAUCAACCCCAGAGGAAGGCACGGCUAACUCUGUGCCAGCAGCCGCGGUAAGACAGAGGUGCCAAGCGUUAGGCGGAAUCACUGGGCUUAAAGCGUGUGU
rnacentral:rRNA from 1 species